rnacentral:rRNA from 1 species
CCUACGGGCGGCAGCAGUGGGGAAUAUUGGACAAUGGGGGGAACCCUGAUCCAGCCAUGCCGCGUGUGUGAAGAAGGCCCUCGGGUUGUAAAGCACUUUCAGUGAGGAAGAACGCCUGGUGGUUAAUACCCAGCAGGAAAGACAUCACUCACAGAAGAAGCACCGGCUAACUCCGUGCCAGCAGCCGCGGUAAUACGGAGGGUGCGAGCGUUAAUCGGAAUUACUGGGCGUAAAGCGCGCGUAGGUGGCUUGAUAAGCCGGUUGUGAAAGCCCCGGGCUCAACCUAGGAACGGCAUCCGGAACUGUCAAGCUAGAGUGCAGGAGAGGAAGGUAGAAUUCCCGGUGUAGCGGUGAAAUGCGUAGAGAUCGGGAGGAAUACCAGUGGCGAAGGCGGCCUUCUGGACUGACACUGACACUGAGGUGCGAAAGCGUGGGUAGCAAACAGGAUUAGAUACCCUUGUAGUC